rnacentral:sRNA from 1 species
AGUGGCUCAUUCACCUUCUUAUGUCAGCCCCUUCGGGACGCGCUACAUAAACCUCGAAUGACGCACUUAAAGGUGCCUGCCGUCCAACUGCUGAUAACAAGCGUAAGCUUUUUCAGAACCAGGGCGAAACGUCGAGUAAGGCACCGCCU